rnacentral:lncRNA from 10 species
GGGCCGGGCGCGCGCCGGGGCGCCCCACCCCGCCUCCGCCCCCGCCCCACGCGCCGGCGGCGCGGACCUCCUUGUCAAUGGGAGCGCGGGGCCGGGCUGCCCGCAGGACGGUCAGGUGGGCCCCCCAGCUCGCUGCCAGCGCGGCCUCUGUCCCUCUCGGGCCGGCUCUCCAUCUUGUCGCCCGUAGCCCGCCUUCUCCGUGGCUCUCCAGCCGCUGGGGCCGCAGAGCCGAGGCCGGGUUACCUCAGGAAACGCGAUGUGGUAGUGGGUCGGAAUAAACCCGCGCGCCCCAGAAUUCGCCUUGGGGGCGUAAGGACAGAUUCGGACUUUUCGUUUCCUAUGUCCACAUUUAUUGAGCACCUAAUAUGUGACACCCGAGGCUGUAAGAAGAGGAACGCAGCGGGCGGAGAAAAGCCAGAGCUUUUUCUCUGUGAGCCGCUGCCUCCAGGGCCAUAGCCGACCCUGCUCCGAGAUCCCAGCCGCCGCUCUCCGUGCAGGAGGGGUGCCCACCCUGGGGAGGCCAGGGUGCCCGGAGUGGAGGGACAGGGCUUCAAGCGACCGGGAGUUUCCAGCAAACCCCUGAUCCCUGAGCAGUUUAUUUUAAAAGCUUUUGCAAAUGUUGGACGGUUUCGUUUGGUGGAGGCCGUCUUUGCACUAAAUUCUCCUGUCCUCCCCCUUCGAAACGCACAAAAUGAAUUUUGAACAGAUUUUGGAUGAGAGGUUUUCUUCCUUUUUUCAUCUUCUGAAACAUUUCCCCCUCAUUUCUUCUCAGAUAAAGACCCAGAAACCCGGGACAGUUACUCGGUGUACAGCUAGUCAAAUACUGAGGAAACCAGUCGAUAUUUGCCAAAGAUUGGGCAUGUUCUGGGUGGUCUCAGAUUUUGAAGAAACGACUUUUUUACUGCACAAAAUAGUUUUACAAUCAGUUCCAUCAGACAGCCCCAGGGGCUCUCCUAGGGAAAGGGGCCAAUAGGCAAGGUUGCAUGGGGAUAAGAGAGGCAAGCGGCCAGUGGAAAACGGUUUUUUGUUUUUUUUUUCCUAACAGUUGGGCAUUUCUGUAGCUCUGAAAGCAAACUUGUUUGUUUCAUUUCAACGAUAGAAAAAAAACACUCCUGUUUUGGAAAUGUAACCCAGCAUAAAAAUACAUUUGCAAUGGGGAAAAAGAAAGCAGUUUAGGGCCACCCAGAAGAAAAUAUUUUUUCCCUGAUUUUUUUUUAAUUUGGUAUUUCCCAGUGUGGGUUUGCCUCAUUUUACAAAUAGCUGCCCAUGUCAAGAUGUGGGUAUGUGAUUUAAAUAUUUUAAUUUGAAUCACAUUUUACAUAGUCUAGGAAACUGACAAAAGAAUCCUAUAGAGAAUUGUUUUAUAAAGUGAAUAACUGCUUCUCUACCUACCCGCCCCUCUCAUUCUUCUUUUCUGUGCGUGUUUUUGGGGGGCUGUUAUGGGAUAAAUCUUGUUUGGCUUAAAAAUCACUAAAACGCAGCCUUUCAAAUCCAAAACAGAGAGCUUAGGUACCCAACAUUCUAUAGAAUGUAUUAUUUCCUCAAGAGGUUGCUAGGAACAGUUAUGUAGAUCUACCAGGUGCAGGGAAGCACUCCACACCCUCACCCAGGUCCUGUAUCCCUGCAAGACUGCGUUGGAAAGACUGAAGAGGAAGCUAAAGAAUGAUGCGCUCCACCACAAUGAGGGACUAAACAACAAAAAGGAGGCAUGAGAUUCAGGAAGCAAAAAAGGAAUUCAUCAUAUGAAGGAAUGAAGAUGUUCAAAAGAAAACCUUCAACCUCAUGCCAGAAGAUGUUCCCAGCUGUAUAAAUGCCUAACUCAGCUUCUAGUCCUUGGAAAUUAAGCAGCUCAUUGAAAAUUCAAGAGUUCCAGCCAGAAGCUACAGCUAGGCUCAGAUGUUGAAAUCAGUCUCUCCUGCUGAUCAAACUGUGACAUAGCCAAAGCAAUAGGCCUGGCUUUUCAGUUAAUUCUCAGCGAGCCCUUCCUUUCCCUCUGUAGUGGGUACUUCAGGAUCCUGCAAUACCAUCUUUGUGAACAUCAGGAAUAUUACGUUGGUACAUACAGAAAGAAGUCUUGAGUAAUACCAGAUAUUUUUGGUUAAUAAGAUGAGUGGAAUGCCUUUUCUUCUCCUGCCCUUGGGCAUCAGACUCCAGGAUCUUUGGCCUUUGGACUCUGGGACUUGCACCAGUGGCUCCCCUAGGAUUCUCAGGCCCAGGGCCUCAUGCUGCAGACUGCACUGUUAGCUUUCCUAAUUUUGAGGCUUUCAGACUUGGACUGAGC